UACGUAGGGCGCAAGCGUUGUCCGGAAUUAUUGGGCGUAAAGAGCUCGUAGGCGGUUUGUCGCGUCUGGUGUGAAAACUCAAGGCUCAACCUUGAGCUUGCAUCGGGUACGGGCAGACUAGAGUGUGGUAGGGGUGACUGGAAUUCCUGGUGUAGCGGUGGAAUGCGCAGAUAUCAGGAGGAACACCGGUGGCGAAGGCGGGUCUCUGGGCAGUAACUGACGCUGAGGAGCGAAAGCGUGGGGAGCGAACAGG
rnacentral:rRNA from 1 species